AAGUCGUAACAAGGUUUCCGUAGGUGAACCUGCGGAAGGAUCAUUAUUGAAUAAACCUGAUGUGGUUGUUGCUGGCUCUCUAGGGAGCAUGUGCACGCCCGUCAUCUUUAUAUUUCCACCUGUGCACCUUUUGUAGACCCAGAAGGCUUGAGCAAUCGAGUCGUUUGGGCCUAUGUCUUAUCAUAUACCCCAUAGUAUGUAUUAGAAUGUAUCAGUGGGCUUCGUGCCUAUAAACACUAUACAACUUUCAGCAACGGAUCUCUUGGCUCUC
rnacentral:misc_RNA from 1 species